GAGUGUAUGCAAGUCAAAAGAGAGUAAGCACGAGUGUGGUGUCUAGUGUUUUGGAGUAGUUAGACAAUAGAGAAAAUACUGAAUAUUUAGGAGUAUUUGGACAUAUUCGAACUCACCUUCGACCAAUGGCCUUGGUCGUUUAUAUAACAUGGUGGUGUGUAAUUGACGCUUGGGUCAUAAUUGUGCCUCUUGAACUUCCACAACCGUUGAGUUGAUAAUUGAUGGGUGAUUUCACUACUAUUAUGACAAACCCAUGAAUGCUCCUAGCGACUCCCUUCAGACAUUUGUGAAGGGAUAAACAACCCUCUGCAGCUAAAAUAAUUUAGCAGAACCAUUAAACUCAACUUUAAAUUACUAUAACCUAAAAGCUAAAUUGUUAAAAAAAAUCAGAA
rnacentral:lncRNA from 1 species